rnacentral:rRNA from 1 species
UCGAGAAUUUUUCUCAAUGGGCGAAAGCCUGAAGGAGCGACGCCGCGUGGGGGAUGAAUGGCUUCGGCCCGUAAACCCCUGUCAUUUGCGAACAAACCUUAUUAUUUAAAAGAUGGUGAGCUGAUUGUAGCGAAAGAGGAAGGGACGGCUAACUCUGUGCCAGCAGCCGCGGUAAUACAGAGGUCCCAAGCGUUGUUCGGAUUCACUGGGCGUAAAGGGUGCGUAGGUGGCGGGGUAAGUCUGAUGUGAAAGCUUCGAGCUCAACUCGAAAAUGGCAUUGGAUACUAUUUCGCUGGAGGUUUGGAGGGGGGACUGGAAUUCUCGGUGUAGCAGUGAAAUGCGUAGAUAUCGAGAGGAACACCGGUGGCGAAGGCGAGUCCCUGGACAACACCUGACACUGAGGCACGAAAGCUAGGGGAGCAAA